ensembl:snRNA U6 U6 spliceosomal RNA
GUGCUCACUUCGGCAGCACAUAUUACUAAAAUUGGAACGAUUCAGAGAAGAUUAGCAUGGCCCCUGCACAAGGAUGACAUGUGAAUAUUGAAUACUAACAAUCAACU